UACGUAGGGGGCAAGCGUUGUCCGGAUUUAUUGGGCGUAAAGAGCGUGUAGGCGGCUAGAUAGGUCCGUUGUGAAAACUCGAGGCUCAACCUCGAGACGUCGAUGGAAACCAUCUGGCUAGAGGCCGGAAGAGGAGAGUGGAAUUCCUGGUGUAGCGGUGAAAUGCGCAGAUAUCAGGAGGAACACCGAUGGCGAAGGCAGGUCUCUGGGCCACUACUGACGCUGAGGAGCGAAAGCGUGGGGAGCGAACAGG
rnacentral:rRNA from 1 species